GAUGAACGCUGGCGGCGUGCCUAAUACAUGCAAGUCGAGCGAACAGACGAGGAGCUUGCUCCACUGACGUUAGCGGCGGACGGGUGAGUAACACGUGGAUAACCUACCUAUAAGACUGGGAUAACUUCGGGAAACCGGAGCUAAUACCGGAUAAUAUAUUGAACCGCAUGGUUCAAUAGUGAAAGACGGUUUUGCUGUCACUUAUAGAUGGAUCCGCGUCGCAUUAGCUAGUUGGUAAGGUAACGGCUUACCAAGGCGACGAUGCGUAGCCGACCUGAGAGGGUGAUCGGCCACACUGGAACUGAGACACGGUCCAGACUCCUACGGGAGGCAGCAGUAGGGAAUCUUCCGCAAUGGGCGAAAGCCUGACGGAGCAACGCGGCGUGAGUGAUGAAGGUCUUCGGAUCGUAAAACUCUGUUAUUAGGGAAGAACAAAUGUGUAAGUAACUAUGCACGUCUUGACGGUACCUAAUCAGAAAGCCACGGCUAACUACGUG
rnacentral:rRNA from 1 species